UCUAUAAUAGGGCCUGCUGAACAUUUUAAAUACAUUUUGCGUAACUGAAUUGUCAGCAGUUUCACUAAGCUUCUGUUCCAGGAGUAUAUUGCACCACAAAACUUACAAGAAACACCUUUAGCACACAUGGAAGGCCAUAAAUUUUGCUCUGAGAAUUUCAGCAAUUUCAGAUCAAAUUAUCAAGUGCCUGUUUUAUAUUGACUAACAGGCUGUAACCAAAUCCUCUUGCAUUCCAGACAAUUUGCAUUGUCUUAUCAAACAGGUUAUUCAAGCUGGUUACUACAACAGUGCCAUUCGUCUUCACCUGCAAGAACGACACCUGUCUCUCUGCUCGUCAGCAGCUAUAUUAUUCAAGGAGGGUGAAAACACUCCAGCUUUACAAUAUUUUGAGCAUCCUACAACAAUCAGGAAAGGAAGGGAAGAAGCUCCAUUAAGAAUGGAAUGAGCUCACACUAGGGUUGAGACUCUUCUGAACUACUGUCCUGAAAAUAGUCCCCUUCUAUCUUCUAACAGCCUGAACAGUGAAACCAGACCUGCUGCUACUCUACAUCGCUGGAAUGAGGGCAUCGGCAGUUGCUCAUGUUGCUGUGACACUAGGCACACUCAUUCUGGUUUGGCUUGCUGUAAAUAUGGCUUUAAAACCUCAAGGAGAUGUUGUAGAGGACAGAUCUUAUAAAUGUGGACUGUCAAAAGCAUGUCCUCAAGGACAUUUUGCUUUUAAAAUUCAGACGGGAUCAGCCAAUAUUAUUGGACCAACUAUUUGUUUUGAAGA